CGUUCUGUAUAAAUAGAGGAGUAGAAGCAUCCACUGAUCGGGAACUGUGCACCAGACCUGGAAGUGACUAGUUCUAUCUCCUCAGACCAAACAUGAAGAGUCUCCUUUUCUCACUCUGUGUUAUAUUAACUCUACAAUGUGUCACAUCACAAAUCUCUAUGGUGGAGUCUGGUCCUGGUACUGUGAAGCCUUCAGAGACUCUGGACAUGACCUGUAAAGUGACCGGGGCCUCCCUCACUGACAGCACUAACAUGUAUUGUGUAGAGUGGGUCCGACAACCUGAAGGGAAAGGACUGGACUGGUUGGGGAGAAUAUGUUAUAAUGAUGCCAAAGCUUAUGCCCAGUCUCUUCAGGGACGUCUAACUCUAACAAGAGACACAAAUAAAGGAGAAGUUUAUCUUAAACUCACUGGAGUGAAACCUGAAGAAUCUGGGAAAUAUUAUUGUGCUAGAUACACAGUGUGA